AUUGAACGCUGGCGGCAGGCCUAACACAUGCAAGUCGAACGAGUGGCGGACGGGUGAGUAAUGUCUGGGAAACUGCCUGAUGGAGGGGGUUACCUACUGGAAACGGUAGCUAAUACCGCAUACCAUCAGAUGUGCCCAGAUGGGAUUAGCUAGUUGGUGGGGUAACGGCUCACAACGUCGACGAUCCCUAGCUGGUCUGAGAGGAUGACCAGCCACACUGGAACUGAGACACGGGCCAGACUCCUACGGGAGGCAGCAGUGGGGAAUAUUGCACAAUGGGCGAAAGCCUGAUGCAGCCAUGCCGCGUGUAUGAAGAAGGCCUUCGGGUUGUAAAGCACUUUCAGCAGGGAGGCGUUACCCGAAGAAGAAGCACCGGCUAACUCCGUGCCAGCAGCCGCGGUAAUUC
rnacentral:rRNA from 1 species